rnacentral:misc_RNA from 1 species
CUAACAUGCUAUUAAGUGG